rnacentral:rRNA from 1 species
CUUGAACGCUGGCGGCAUGCCUUACACAUGCAAGUCGAACGGCAGCACGGGGGCAACCCUGGUGGCGAGUGGCGAACGGGUGAGUAAUGCAUCGGAACGUGCCCAGUAGUGGGGGAUAACCAGUCGAAAGACUGGCUAAUACCGCAUACGACCCAAGGGUGAAAGCGGGGGACCGUAAGGCCUCGCGCUAUUGGAGCGGCCGAUGUCUGAUUAGCUAGUUGGCGGGGUAAGAGCCCACCAAGGCGACGAUCAGUAGCUGGUCUGAGAGGACGACCAGCCACACUGGGACUGAGACACGGCCCAGGCUCCUACGGGAGGCAGCAGUGGGGAAUUUUGGACAAUGGGCGCAAGCCUGAUCCAGCCAUGCCGCGUGCGGGAAGAAGGCCUUCGGGUUGUAAACCGCUUUUGGCAGGAACGAAACGGCGCAGGCCAAUACCUUGCGCUAAUGACGGUACCUGCAGAAUAAGCACCGGCUAACUACGUGCCAGCCGCCGCAGUAACAC